GGACUGCUGAUCAGGUUAGAUGGGCCCUUGUCCAAAGCAGAUUGGAUCUCUUUUCAGCUGUUUCAGCAGAGAGGAUCAGAAAUGACAGAGGGAGAAGAAAUUGUUUCUCUCAAUUCAUCCAGUAUCUUUUCUGUCAUUCAAAGCCUUCAGACUCUGGAGAAAUUGAAUGAACACACACUGUGGGACCAGGAGAGCAGAAGGCAUUGGAGAAAUCACUCAGCGAGAGAAGAAGAGGGGAAGGAUUUGAGCAGAAAUGGGCUCAGAGGAAGGACAGAGAGGUGGAAGAAUUCCUUUUGGGAUCCUUCUCCCAGAUCACUGAGACAGCUACCUCUGGAGAAACACUACUUCCAGGGCAAGACCUGGGUGAUAUUUCUUAUAAAGCAAGCUGGAAAAUCUUAUAUACAAUCUGAUGUCCAUGGAGCCUCGUUAGCCGGCAAGAACUCACUGCCAGAGAGAGCAGAGAGGCUGAGAUCUCAGCACGACUCAGAAUGGAAAUUACUGUUGGUGAUGGGAACGUCCAGAGAGAUGAUGCUGAGCCCUUUGGAGCUGAGCCCCGUUAGGCUUUCACCCAUGAUCUUUGCUGUCGCCACACUUGAUGGGUGAAACAUCACAUGAUGACAAUGGGGUGAGCCCAGGCUCUUCUUGUCCCCAAGUCCUUUUUCUGCAGCUAUUCAUGGGUCAGGGGAGGUCAUUUGGGUUUUCCAGCCAUAACCUCCUGCCUAGUUCACUAAAAGGCCUAUAAAUAAAGUCUCAUUUGUCACUCCUUCAUGAAC
ensembl:lncRNA